GGUGUAUAGCUCAGUUGGUAGAGCAGCUGACUCUUAAUCAGCGGGUCCAAGGUUCGAAUCCUUGUACACC
rnacentral:tRNA from 1 species